CUUGAACGCUGGCGGCAGGCCUAACACAUGCAAGUCGAACGGUAACAGGAAUCAGCUUGCUGAUUUGCUGACGAGUGGCGGACGGGUGAGUAAUGUCUGGGAAACUGCCUGAUGGAGGGGGAUAACUACUGGAAACGGUAGCUAAUACCGCAUAACGUCGCAAGACCAAAGAGGGGGACCUUCGGGCCUCUUGCCAUCGGAUGUGCCCAGAUGGGAUUAGCUAGUAGGUGGGGUAACGGCUCACCUAGGCGACGAUCCCUAGCUGGUCUGAGAGGAUGACCAGCCACACUGGAACUGAGACACGGUCCAGACUCCUACGGGAGGCAGCAGUGGGGAAUAUUGCACAAUGGGCGCAAGCCUGAUGCAGCCAUGCCGCGUGUAUGAAGAAGGCCUUCGGGUUGUAAAGUACUUUCAGCGGGGAGGAAGGGAGUAAAGUUAAUACCUUUGCUCAUUGACGUUACCCGCAGAAGAAGCACCGGCUAACUCCGUGCCAGCAGCCGCGGUAACAC
rnacentral:rRNA from 1 species